UGGGCCUCUUCUUAUUUUGGGCUUUUCAAUUAUUAUUUUAAUUAAAAAGAGUAAGAAGGUUGGGGAUUGGCUUAUGUACAGGAUCAUGCGUGAUUCAGCAACUCGCUUUGUUCAUGAAGCAAGGUUUGUUCAGACAGACGGACAGGUUGGUUUGAUGGGAAAUGAGGCUUCUCUAAAUACCAUUGUUGCCUGCAUCCGAGUUUCCGUAGAGGGAGGGUGCCUACCCUGUGGACCUCAUUGGCCUCGACAUGGAAGCUCAUUGUCCAAACGGCUUGGACUUGUAUAGGCUCUUUCCAUGUUUUUCUCAACUGCUAUACCUACCAAGGUCUUUUUUUCUCUUCUGGAAGAGGACACAACAUGUGCCCCUAUUUGUUUUCCUCUUUAGGUAAAAUAAGACUCAGGACAGUCUCCACAUCUCUUAGGUAAGACGUGUCCUUCUUCGUCUAGGGCUCUGUAACUCGUAGAUCAAGUUCUAGAGCAAGCGUUGCUUUAAAUACGUGAGCAAAGUUUGGGUUUAAUUUAAUAAAAUCCGAAAAACAAACGUUUUAGCUUUUGUUGUCACUCAUGCGGUGCACUGAAAAUGAUAUAAUGUGAUCGUAAUGUUUAUAAAAUGUCAUGCAGCAUUACUAUAAUAUAUGAUUAGCUUUUUUUUC